rnacentral:rRNA from 1 species
UACGUAGGGACCGAGCGUUGUCCGGAAUCAUUGGGCGUAAAGAGCGUGUAGGCGGCCACUUAAGUCCUGCGUGAAAUCUUGCGGCUCAACCGCAAGCGGUCGUGGGAAACUGGGUGGCUAGAGUGCGGGAGAGGAGAGUGGAAUUCCCGGUGUAGCGGUGAAAUGCGCAGAUAUCGGGAAGAACACCCGUGGCGAAGGCGGCUCUCUGGGACGGUACCGACGCUGAGACGCGAAAGCGUGGGGAGCGAACAGG